CUCUGAGCCAUCAGCACAGAGCCCGACGCGGGGCUCGAACUCACAGACCGUGAGAUCAUGACCUGAACUGAAGUCAGACGCUCAAGCUCAACCGACUGAGCCACCCAGGCGCCCCAGCAGGGCUCUUUUUGAGUGGGUCUUUCCUUGAUCUCUCUGUUAAGCUGUCUGUCUCAUUUUGUAUUACAUCAAUAUGUUAGGUUCCACUAAUUACUGGCUAAUUGCUGUAUUAUUUUCUACCGUGCCCUGGGGCAUAAAUUGUUCAUUGGUCUGAUCCAAUUAAAUUCAGGCAAGGGUAGUUUCAGAGGCCACUUUUUGAGUAGGUGGGCUAUUCUUAGCUCUCUUUUCUCCUGGUUAUCUCUAGUGAAUUAGCUGGCCUACGGUUUAGUGUGUUGCUCUUAAUUAAGAGGAACUAUUGUUUUUAAGAGUGUCCUUAAAUUUGAACUUCUCUACGCUCAAUUUCAAAUAAAAUCAAUUCCUCUGGGGAGAGCUUCAGAGCUCUCUUUUCUAACUGGCUGCCUUUCCCCCAGGCAAUAUCUGUGAUCCACUAUUUAGGGAGCUGAGUGGGUUUGGUAGCCCCUGGUCUUCUCAGCUUGCUUUUCUGGUGUGGAACCUCUCUCUGCCCUAGAAAUGAUGGGGCAGGAGUGAUCACGACCUCAGAAUUCUUGGCCUGCUUCCCCUGGACUAGAACCUCCAUUCUGUAGGUUGAGAACAGGAACCCUUGACCUCUUGGCUACACUCACCAGUAACUUAGCCCCUUCAACUUGGAGUUGGAGAUGAGAAGUGCUGGUAGCUUGCUUCUCCUGGUGAAAUACAGUAACCCUUUGUAUAAGAAAAACACUCCUGGGGCACCUUGAUGGCUCAGUUGGUAGAGCAUGAGACUCUUGAUCUCAGAAUUGUGAGUUUGAGCCACACGUUAGGUGUGGAGAUCACUUAAAAGUAAAAUAUUGAAAACAAAGAAAAACACUCCUGUGUUUCUCUUUUAUUCUCAUACCACUGUAACACUCACAACACUCCUGACACUAGAUGUGUGUGUUUCCCACCCAUCAUGCAGUUCUGCAACACCAGCCAGUUGUCCUACAAUUCAAUUCAGUUCUGACACUACCUGGAGUUAGUGUUAGAUCCCACAGUCUAAGGGUUCACCCCUGCAAGACUGCCCCACUUCAAGUUAAUUUGUUGAUUUAAGUAACCUCUACACCCAGUAUGGGGCUUUAACUCACAAUCCUGAGAUCAAGAGUUGCAUGCUCUUCUGACUGAGCUAGCUAGGUCCUCCCAAAGGACAGCUCCACUUCAGAUGCCAAUGGCAAGUUCCAGAUUAUCAUCUGUACUCACGACUACAUGGCUAUAAAUUGGGGUUCCUAUAACCCCCUCCUAGGGGUUGAUAACUUGCUGGAGUGGCUCACAGAACUCAGGAGAAUACUGAUUUAUGUUUGCCAGUUUAUUAUAAAGGGUAUGAUAAAGGAUAUGAAUAAGCAGUCAGAUGAAGGGAUACAUGAGGUCUGGAAAAGUCCCGAGAGCAGGAGCUUCUGUCCUCGUGGAGUUGGGGUGUGUCACCCUCCUGGCAUAUAAGUGUGUUCACGAACCCAGAUCUUCGAAUCCCAUACUUUGGGAAUUUUAUGGAGGCUUCAUUCCAUACAUGGAGGCAUGAUCUAUCAUUAACUCAAUCUUCAGUCCCUCUGGAGGAUGGGGAGUGGGGUUGAAAUUUCAAAUUUCUAAUCAUGGCUUGGUCUUUCUGGUGACCAGCUCCCAUCCCAAAGGUAUCCAAGAGCCCACCAAGAGUUGCCUCAUUAGGAUAAAAGACACUCCUAUCACCCGGGAAACUCUAAGGGAUUUAGGAGCUCUGUGUCAGGAACCGGGAUCAAAGAUCAAAUAUUAGAACAAAAAAUGCUCGAAGUGCUCUUAUCACUUAGGAAAUCACAAGGGUUUUAGGAGCUCUCUGUCAGGAGCUGGGGGCAAAGAUAGAUACUGCCUAUUAGUUUACACACUUGGUCGGGGACUGAGGGGAGAGGGAGCCUUGUCUUCUUGGCUACAUCUGCCCAGAGUAGAGCUUCCCUCAAACUGAGCUGGGGAGAGGGGAGGAGGGAGGGAAUAGGAUGCGGUUCAAAUCCCAGACUCUCGCUGGCCUUACUGAGUUUUAGUAGCUUUUCUUGAAUAAAUGUUUCUUCACUGACUGAAUGCCCUUGGGACAAUUUCCAGAAACUUUAAAUGGUGUAGUUUUUAAAAAAUAGUGUUUACCGGCUUUGCUUGUUUCCCUGGGAAGUGGGUCUGUGGAGCUCCUCGUGCUGCCAUCCUGACGAGGCAACUUGGGGCAACUCGGUGAGGUGAGCGGAAUUUCUUAGCAGGUGCUAGUCUCCACAGAGAUCCUCAGAGAAAGGCCCUCCAGCUUGGUUCUGCCCUCGGGCACGCCCCCUCCAACAUCAGUAGGAAGGACUUGUUAUCAGAUAUCACAUGUCUUUAUUUAGCACUUAAGUAUGUGUGUCCCCAUUUUGUUCCAUAGUUUUUACCAAAAGCCCCUGUCCUUCGUCCUCUGCUCCAGCAGGGGUAGAAUCGCAGAUGGCGCAGCCCGCGGUGGCUCUCAGCAUUCCCCAUGUAAUCUGCUAACCACCUACCUUUCAAAGCUUACUAGUACUUCUCACUUUUCACUGCCUUGUCCUUUCCUUUGGCAAGAUUCCUUCCUUCAUGAGGAAGGGGGUCCCAGGGCAAGUUAGAAAGGCCAGAAAUCAUCUUGGAGUCCAAGGGCAGCCCCCCGGAGGGGGGGGGUGUCCACAGGGAUAAGCUCCAAGUACCCUGACACCAGAUGGCCUCAUGGCAGGCAGGUGGGGCCAGCGGCUGAAGGAAGCUGUGUGCUCUGCAGGGUUGUAGUGCGAGUGCCUGACAGCAAGCUUUGGAGAGCCCAGACCUCCAGGGCCAAGGCAUUCAUCUCAGGAAACAGACCACCAGCUGGCCGACACAGCUACCAGCUACACAACUGGGUGGUUGGCUUCCUCUGUGUGCCUCACCCAACCCGUGAGCUCCUUGGCGGGCCGCCAUGCCUCACAUGCACCACAGCGGCCCCGGAGCCUGGGGCCGGGUGGCCAGAGUCCACAAAUGUCUGCUCCACGCCUGAUCGCUGCUGCAGCUGCAGACAAGGGGCCUGUGUACAGUGGGCACCUGGUGUGGGCCGCUCCGUCAGCAGGUCCGGGGGAAACUCUGCAGAGAGAACGCCAGGGGCGGUCACUGCGCUACGGCCACACCCAUCUGGGACAGACGGUAAUCCAGUUACCAGGGAGAAGUUCCCAGGAAUAAAGAUUCGGAGGCCCGUUUCCCGUUCCUGACCUGGUGCCGUCUCCACGGGCUUGGUGGACAAACUUGACCUGCAGCGAGCCAGAGCCUCAGGCUGCGUGGCUGCCACCGGCCAGGGCUUCUGUUAGACCUGCAGAGACAAGGAAGCACCGCGAACUGCCUGCGGUUUGCUGCCAGGAGAGUUGAUAGAAUCGACAGCAGGGCACUCACCUAGAUAUCCUGCUGUGGACACCUGGCAACAUU